CACGUAGGGCGCGAGCGUUGUCCGGAAUUAUUGGGCGUAAAGAGCUCGUAGGCGGCUUGUCGCGUCGUCCGUGAAAACCCACAGCUCAACUGUGGGCUUGCGGUCGAUACGGGCAGGCUAGAGUUCGGUAGGGGAGACUGGAAUUCCUGGUGUAGCGGUGAAAUGCGCAGAUAUCAGGAGGAACACCGGUGGCGAAGGCGGGUCUCUGGGCCGAUACUGACGCUGAGGAGCGAAAGCGUGGGGAGCAAACAGG
rnacentral:rRNA from 1 species